rnacentral:rRNA from 1 species
UAGGGAAUCUUCGGCAAUGGACGAAAGUCUGACCGAGCAACGCCGCGUGAGUGAAGAAGGUUUUCGGAUCGUAAAACUCUGUUGCUAGAGAAGAACAAGGACGUUAGUAACUGAACGUCCCCUGACGGUAUCUAACCAGAAAGCCACGGCUAACUACGUGCCAGCAUCCGCGGUAAUACGUAGGUGGCAAGCGUUGUCCGGAUUUAUUGGGCGUAAAGCGAGCGCAGGCGGUUUCUUAAGUCUGAUGUGAAAGCCCCCGGCUCAACCGGGGAGGGUCAUUGGAAACUGGGAGGCUUGAGUGCAGAAGAGGGGAGUGGAAUUCCAUGUGUAGCAGUAAAAUGCGUAGUUUUAUGGAGGAACCCCAGUGGAAAAGGCGACUCUCUGGUCUGUAACUGACGAUAAGGCUCGAAAGCGUGGGGAGCAAACAGG